rnacentral:lncRNA from 1 species
CAGUUCCUCCCUCCCCCCGUGUGUCUCCUUUCCUCUGUUUCUCUCUAUCUUACACUGGAGCUCCAUCAAUAAACCUAGGCCUCCUGUAAUGAAUACAACAUUUCAAACUCCUCUUGUCAAAUUAUAUUUCUGUUAAAUAUAGAUCUAAUUUUGUUUUUAACAAAUAUUGUUUAUUUUACUUACUUUUCAA